CCCUUAGAUGUUCUGGGCCGCACGCGCGCUACACUGAUAUUGCCAAUAUGUCAUUCUUAUCCGAAAUGGAUUGGGUAAUCAAGUAAUGAAAUUUCAUGCUUGGAAUCGGUAAUUGCAAUUUUAUCGUGAACGAGGAAUUCCUAGUAAGCACUAGUCAUCAGCUAAUGUUGAUUAUGUCCCUGCCCUUUGUACACACCGCCCGUCGCUACUACUGAUUGGGUGUUCAAGUGAGAUGCUUAGACCCUUGUUGCAUGGUUCAUUAUUGUGCUCCGAAAGGAAAAAGUUUCAAGCUUGAGUGUCUAGAGGAAGUAAAAGUCGUAACA
rnacentral:rRNA from 1 species